AAAUAAAAGAAGAAAAAAACAAUAAAAAAACAAACAAAAC
rnacentral:sRNA from 1 species